UGAGAGAUCAAAAUCUUUUUUUUUAAUUUCUCUUUUUUUUUCUUUUUGUGAGAGAUCAAAAUCUUAAUAGAUGGGGAAGCUGAGAGAUAGUCAGCAGCCAAACAAGAUGAAGUUUGGGAGGUCUUCGGUUCCUCAGAUAAUGCCACUGGGCUUCUCCAGUUUUACCUGCCAGAUCUCCGUGGGAAACUGCCAUCGCUAGUCCAAGUGCUAAAGGGUCCUGGAAGCUUGCAUGGCAGAGAAGAAAAUCUGUUCUGACCUCAUAGUUGCCAUCAGGUACAGCAAGGUUCCUAGACAUAUAAGGUCACCAUGCCUCCAAACAAGAAAUCGAGAAGAUGCUUACUGUGUUGGACAUGAGCGAAUAUCUGACGCAGCCAGACAUGGUGAUGCAGUUUUAAUGCCAGCACUUGGGAGGCAGAAGCAAGCAGUGAGUUCGAAGUCAGCUUGGUCUUGUAAGUACUUGUCUCAGAAGCAAACAAACCUGAUAUAAGCUACUUAAGUGUGGACCUGGGUACCAGAGGCUUUCCACGGAGAUCUCUGGUCCCGCCAGGUGCGAGUGUUCCCGUGAAGGGAAGCCUGUGCAGGCAGGGAGGGGAAGUCGCUUCCACCGCUGCUUCUGCGGUUGGCUCCAUCUCCGUCUCUGCCCUGCCUCUAGG
rnacentral:lncRNA from 1 species